AUCGAAAGCGUUGGUGUUGAAAAUGAAAGUUGAAAUUUAUGACUGCUGAGUGGUGCUUGCCUUACCUAAUAACGUUAUCGUAGUAACAAAGCAGGUUAAGUUUUAUUAUGGAUAACAAAGGAUGUUAAGAAACGAGUAGAACCUCCUGGAAAACAUCACUCAACCCUUAGUCGUGACACUUUCACACAACAAAUAACUGAUAUAGUUGUUAUUUCAACUGCACUGAGGUUCUCCGUCCACCGUAAGUCAAGAAAAGACAAAUAAACACCCACCAGUUAUGAGGAGAGAAGAAUUAGAUAAUACGCAGAUGGCUGGAGACUGGGGAAGUAAGGAAUGUGGCAGGAGAAAAGAACAAAAACAUGUGUUUUUCUGUGAGGGUCAUUUGACAGUCUUCAAACAGACUAGAUAUCUCCAUGAGUUGCUCAGAAGUCACUGUAUGGACCAGACAUGUCCAAUGAAUCUCUCCACCAUCAUCAAAUGGACAAGAAAUGUCUGAGAGUCAUUAUACAGCCUCCUCAAAGAGAGGAAGUCUCCAGAAGUCAGUUGACAGAGUUUCGACAAGUGGGUUGCAAGACUAUCCAUAAGCGAUUGAUCUCUGGACUUUGAAAGGGUCAGAAGAAUUUUUAAAGAGUCAUACAAAAAUCACAGAAUUUUGUACCAGUAAAACCAUGGAAACGAAGAGGCAUCUACAAUAGUAGCCAUCUUCUAUGAAUUGGUGUAGCCUUCAAUUACUAAUCAUUGAUUAUCCUCAAGAACUACAGACUUUUAUGAUUAGAGACUAAAGGCUAUUUUAUACUGACAAUGUUGAAAGGCUCAUCUCAAUUUUCUUUCUACAUCACUGCUAUUUGUAUUCUCC
rnacentral:lncRNA from 1 species